UACGUAGGGGGCUAGCGUUGUCCGGAUUUAUUGGGCGUAAAGAGCGUGUAGGCGGCUUUACAGGUCCGUUGUGAAAACUCGAGGCUCAACCUCGAGACGCCGGUGGAAACCGUAAAGCUAGAGUCCGGAAGAGGAGAGUGGAAUUUCCGGUGUAGCGGUGAAAUGCGUAGAGAUCCGGAGGAACACCAGUGGCGAAGGCGGCUGCCUGGGCCUGGCCUGACGCUGAGGCGGCGAAAGCGUGGGGAGCCGAUCCGGG
rnacentral:rRNA from 1 species